UCAACAACGGAUCUCUUGGUUCCGGCAUCGAUGAAGAACGCAGCGAAAUGCGAUACGUAAUGUGAAUUGCAAAUUCAGUGAAUCAUCGAGUCUUUGAACGCACAUUGCGCCCCCUGGUAUUCCGGGGGGCAU
rnacentral:rRNA from 3 species